GAGUCGAGUUCUCUCAACCUUGUGUCUUGGUGUCGUUUCUGUUUUAACCGAUCCGGGCCAUUAUAAUAAAUAGUAUCUACACAUUUAUACAAAUUGUCAUUGUCAAAAUUGAGGGGUGUCUAGUUUAGUUUGGUCUGGUGUUCGUUAACUCCAAAGACUUGAGCCCAAUGUUUUGGUUUGUACGUAUAUAUAGUUGAUUAAUUUCUCUCUUGGGAUUCUCCAUUGUCUCCAGCAACACCAUUUAUACCACCAUCAACAUCUCUUUCAACCAACACAGAAAACGACGCCGUACCUGUUCAAAUCGCCAUGGGUAUGAGAGGAUUAUUGUUGGGGUCAGUAGCAAGACAAGUGAAUGCAAUGGCGAUUCAUCCGGCGGCCACGGUGACUACCAUACUCCACUACAGUAGUCUUCUACCGCGCGAUCUCACCGUCGAUUUAGAGAGAAGAAGAUUGAUCCGUCAUGAGUUGCUCAAUCGACAUAACUUUUUGUUUAGAAUUAUUGUCAGCAUUUUGACAUGCUUCUGGUAGCUAAUUUGACCAAAUAUGCUGUGUUUUGAGGUGUGUAAUUAGUGUUUUUUUCUAAUACAAGAGUCUAAAGAAUCUAAUCU